AGCUUUGAGCAGUGGCAGUCUCAUAGCCAAUAAGGUCUAUUCGAGGCUCAAUUAUUGCUAAUUGGAAACUUUUCCCAAUACCCUGUCAAGAGGACUUGAAAUACAGUCGGCAUUGGCAAUUUUUGACAGUCUCUGUAGAGA
rnacentral:snRNA from 1 species